rnacentral:rRNA from 1 species
UGGGGAAUCUUGGGCAAUGGGCGCAAGCCUGACCCAGCCAUGCCGCGUGUGUGAAGAAGGCCUUCGGGUUGUAAAGCACUUUCAGCCGUGAAGAAAAGUUUAGGGUUAAUACCCCUGAACCUUGACGUUAACGACAGAAGAAGCACCGGCUAACUCCGUGCCAGCAGCCGCGGUAAUACGGAGGGUGCGAACGUUAAUCGGAAUUACUGGGCGUAAAGCGCGCGUAGGCGGUUUGUUAAGUGGGAUGUGAAAGCCCCGGGCUCAACCUGGGAACUGCAUUCCAAACUGGCAGGCUAGAGUAUGGUAGAGGGAGGUAGAAUCUCCUGUGUAGCGGUGAAAUGCGUAGAUAUAGGAAGGAAUACCGGUGGCGAAGGCGGCCUCCUGGACCAAUACUGACGCUGAGGUGCGAAAGCGUGGGGAGCAAACAGGAUUAGAUACCCGUGUAGUCC